rnacentral:tRNA from 1 species
CAUUAGAUGACUGAAAAGCAAGUAAUGGUCUCUUAAACCACAUUAUAGUAAUAUAGCAUUUACUCUAAUGA